CGGGUGAGUAAUACAUAUCUAACAUGCCCCUCUGUGGGGGAUAGCCGCUUGAAAAAGCGAUUAAUACCCCAUAGGAAGCUUUAUCCAUGAUUUAGCUUUUAAAGCCUUCGGGCGCUGAGGGAUUGGGAUAUGCUCUAUUAGCUAGUUGGCGGGAUAAAAGCCCACCAAGGCAAUGAUAGAUAGCUGGUCUUAGAGGAUGAACAGCCACAAUGGGAUUGAGAUACGGCCCAUAUUCCUACGGGAAGCAGCAGUAGGGAAUCUUCCACAAUGGACGAAAGUCUGAUGGAGCAAUACCAUGUGAACGAUGAAGGCCUUUUUGGUUGUAAAGUUCUUUUACGAGGGAUAAUUAUGAUAGUACUUCGUGAAUAAGUGACAGCAAACUAUGUGCCAGCAGCUGCGGUAAUACAUAGGUCGCAAGCAUUAUUCGGAUUUAUUGGGCGUAAAGCAAGCGCAGGCGGAUGUGUAAGUUCUGUGUUAAAUGCAGCUACUCAAUAGUUGUAUGCACCGAAUACUACAUGUCUAGAUUGUGGUAGGGAGUUUCGGAAUUAAGCAUGGAGCGGUGGAAUGUGUAGAUAUGCUUAAGAACACCAGAGGCGAAGGCGGAAACUUAGGCCAUAAAUGACGCUUAGGCUUGAAAGUGUGGGGAGCAAAUGGGAUUAGAUACCCCAGUAGUCCACACCGUAAACGAUGGGUAUUAGAUAUUAGGGCUUUAGCUUUAGUGUUGUAGCUUACGCGUUAAAUACCCCGCCUGGGUAGUACAUAUGCAAAUAUGAAACUCAAAGGAAUUGACGGGGACCUGAACAAGUGGUGGAGCAUGUUGCUUAAUUCGAUAAUACACGAAAAACCUUACCAAGGUUUGACAUCCCUCGCAAAGCUAUAGAAAUAUAGUAGAGGUUAUCGAGGUGACAGGUGGUGCAUGGCUGUCGUCAGCUCGUGUCUUGAGAUGUUUGGUUAAGUCCCGCAACGAGCGCAACCCCACUCUUUAGUUACUUGUCUAAAGAGACUGCACAGUAAUGUAGAGGAAGGAUGGGAUCACGUCAAGUCAUCAUGCCCCUUAUGCCUUGGGCUGCAAACGUGCUACAAUGGCGAACACAAUGUGUUGCAAACCAGCGAUGGUAAGCUAAUCACCAAAUUUCGUCUCAGUUCGAAUAGGAGG
rnacentral:rRNA from 1 species